CAAGAUGACAGUUAAUCGUUCAGAAUAUAUUUACAAGAGCAGUACAAAGAAUAACGCGAUAUUACACGUACAUAUUUGUUACGUACACUAACAAGUAAUUGGUAAGCAGGUGAACAGUUUAAUUGUUAAUCGAGGCACGUGACAAUAAGGCAUUUCUACAGAGGACAAAAUACGAUCGUAUACAUGUAAGGUACUUUUGCAUCGUUCUUAUUGUUUGAAAAAAAAAAAAAAUACUUUUUAAAGUUUCAUUUAUUAGCGAACCAAAGACUGAUACUUGAUUUAUAUUUCAAGUAGAAUAACACCGAAAUAGUCGAUAUGUAAUAAACAUGAAGUUUAGUCGUAGAGACGUGAAACUUAAUACAAACGACGUGGAACUAUCUAACUGGCAGCUCCUCGGCUGAUCUUACAUGUUUACAAUCGUAUAAAUUUACAUUAGUGGACGUCACAAUGAAAGUUGUGUUAGUACGUCGGUGCAAAAAAUGCGUAUCAGUGUUAUCAUCGCUUCUCAGCGUGUCUCGUUACACCGAUUAUACAAAUAGUAUACCACAUUGUUCGUAAAGAGUGUGUGUGCACGGAUACAUGGUAAUCAGAUUAUCGCUAAAUCAAGUACGAGAUCGAAGAAGUCGAGAUGAAUGAUCGAGCAACAAGAAGACAGAGAUAGAAAGAGAGACGUAACUGUAACGAUUGAUACAGGAAGAGCGUCAAAAAUGAUCCAUGAGUACUUUGAAAAAAGAAAAAAAAAUGAAAUAUAAUUAAAGUUAGUAUCGAAGAGAGAAAGCAUGUAAUAUGGAACAUGUUAAAGGUUUCUUUUACACGUUUGGAGACACUGAACAACGAAGAUGCACAUUGUUAAUGGGGAAGAAACGUUCACAAUUAUGAAACGAUGAAUGAAACAUUGUUGGAUUAGAGAAAAGAAUUUACAGUAGUCACAGACAUAUCACGAUGUUAGUUAAAUUACCACUGAUUUGAACGUGUGCGAGUUUCACUUACGAUCAUUUAAUGGAAUCGUAAAAAUGGAUUCUGAUCAAAUUCUUAAUGUAACAUACUUAUUGUUUGUAGUAGAUUCGCACACGUUCGCAGACACAAACGCACAGUUCAUACAACGAUACAUACGUACUUGUUCUACUCGUAUAAUUAUAUUAAAUUGUAACAUAUGAGCUGUUUAUUUCUUUUUGGAUCGGUAUCGAAACAAGUAAAUCACACAACUGCUACGGAAUAAGAAAAUCGAAAUUUUACAAUGUGUUCUAACUUUAUUAUAAGAUAGAAAAUGAAUUUCUUCUAUUUUAAAGAUGGACCACGUUACAUAUGUUACAAUUCAAUGGUCUUUUUUUGUCUUUUUCUUUUUAAUAAAAACAGUGGGACAGAUAAUUCUGUAAGUAUAGUCAUGGGAAACGUAGUAUAUUUGUAAAUUGGACCAAAGAGCUUUGUAUAAAAUACUUCAACACUUUUAAACAUUUAUAUAAUAACGAUAACAAUGAAAAUUAAAUCACAGUUGAAAUAUUUCAUACCGAGCUCCGAGUUCUAGUUUCUUUUCCUAUAUAUUUCUAUCAUAUUGUUCGCUAGUGGCUUUACAAUUAUACUGUAAUGUUUCCACUAACUAUACAUUGUGUACUUUUAUGUACAUAUAUGACCCAACGACUUCUUUUUUUUGGUCGCACACAUACCUCUCGACAUCAUAUCCGGUACCAAAGGAACUCGAAUUCAUUUUAUAUGUAUAUCUUUUUCAGGGUAACAACGAACCGUUAGAAAAAUACUUCCAUUUCUACUACUCAGUUUGAACAAGCCUGAUGCUUGUGCGAGCUGGCAAAUUAGUACAACAAACAAUUUAUUACAAAACAAGGAAAAUGGAUAUUUAAUGGAGAACGUUUAAAAUACUGCGAAAUAUAAAAACCAAGUAAAAUGUAUUCUAUGGGAAACAUCAUAUCAUUAUGCACUUGAUACACUGAAAUAUAGCACAAUGUGUGUUUACAAUGUUCCUCGGGGGCGCGCCUAUGUAUAUGCACGUAAUUAUGUGUUUCUGCAUAUUGUUCGUGUACGUGUGUGAUUGAGUUUGUGAUGUACACAAGUGACCGUACGAAAUAAUUUUUUUUCGAUUAUCAUCGCUUGAAUUUCAAUAAUAAUCAUCAUCAUACUGACCGAGCAAUAGGCGAUACGACGGGUAUGAUCGUUCAUGAUCGAUAAUAAUAAUAAUAAUAUUAAUAAUACAAAUAAUAGUAGUAAUAAUAGUAGUAGUAACGGUAGUAGAGUAAUAAUAAUAGUAGUGGUAAUGGUUGUGUGGUAAUAACGGUAAGAGUAAUAAUAGCGAGACAACGAUGAUAAUGAUGAUAAUCACGAUAGAUUGUUAUUGUUAUUAUUAUUAUUAUUAUUAUUAUAACGUAUUGACAAUAAUAUAACAUGUAACAACGACCGGAUAUGUCGAGCACCAAAGAAAUACGCGUUAAAUGUUAUCACGUUUAAAUCGGGCAAUGGCGAGUACUUUUAAUAAUGAUUUUAUACACAUCACAGAAAUAUUAAUAUACUGUAUAAUUUCAACGAAAAGAAAAAGUUCAAAAUCCCUGAAGAGAUUUGGAAGGAUCAAAGACUAAAAAAUUUGAUACAGUAAGGUAGCAGAAAGAAAAGUAACUAAAAAUUAAUUUUAAGUAGCAUUAAUAUUGCACUAGUAUUCAUCCUUGAAUCGAGAUCAAAAUGAAAGAAGCGACUCGUAGGUGCCCGAUUUUCACGCGACAAAUAUGCCGAUACCAUUCUACAUACUCGGCCAUAUUUUUAAUCUAUUUUCUGUCGUUUUAGGUGUACAUUCUUCAACGAAGAAACAAAAUCAGAGAAAAGAUUCAUCUCGCGGUUCUGUACAACGAUCUUGACGAUCAAUACCGAUUACGAGCCUGUAAACCAAGAGUUUUCGGAUAAUCUGGGAAGCAGAAAACAGCAAACAGGAGAGAAAUAAAAAGAAAGAGAAAGAAGAAAGAAACGGAGGCAACUUGAACGUAAAAUAAUAAAAAUCGGUUCGUCUCUCUUGAGGAUCGGUGAAAUUCACGAUAAUGGCACUAUACAAAUUACGAAAAAAUCUUAUUAUUCUCUCCGCUUAUCAGCACGGAUCGAUUAGUCUACUUAAACGCACAACUAUAAUAUACGCCAUAAUAGUUUAAUAUCUAUAGCACGUUACGCGGUUAAACUUCGGUAUUACAUACAGUACGUGUGUCUGUGUUUGUCUGUAUUUGUGUGUUGUCUAUUUAAAAACCUUUAUACACCAUUUUUUUCCUUUACUCUUUUUUUUCUCUUAAUUCUUUUUUUCCUCCCUUUCAUUGUACCCCGCUCGACGUUCGAUGGGUCGCUCUUUAACAGUACAACGUAAACGAUCUUUUCUUAUAAUUGUACAUAUACAAAGCGGGGCAUUAACUUUGUGCAUAGAAAAUGUUUCUGCUAUUUCUAACAAUAUGGAAGAAUAUUAUUUAUAAAAUAAUUUACUGUUAGAAAAAUAUUGAAUAGGAGAUAUAAGUAAUUUAACAAUUACAAUAUUUAUGACUUAUUAAGGCUAAGAAAAUAGUAAUAUAAUAUCCUUGAAAUCUCCAUUUACAGAAGAAACUAUUAUUAACACAUUACAAUCUUCACACACCAUACAAUUUCAUCAAAUAAUAUUCUUUCAUAUCUUGAAAAAAGAAUAGGAGAAACUAUUUUCGAUGUACAAUCCUCUGUACAUAUUACAUGUAUCGUACAAAUAACAGUAUCGUUAUGCCUAUAAUAUUUAGAAAGUAUAUUAAUAACCAUACAAGUAGUCCCGUGCGUUUUCAAGCUUCGAUCGAUCAUGUGAAAAAGAAUCUCUUCGUGCGAGGUUCAUCCUAUAUAUUUAUAUACCAUAUACAUACAUAUAUAUAUAUAUAUAUAUACGUAAUUUUUUUCUUAUUUCAUUCAUUCUUUUACCCUAUUUUAUUUACAGAACGAAUCAACAUCGAAUGACGGUCAAACCAGCCAGAAAACGUACGGACCGAUGGUUCACGAUAAAAUAGUGGUGUGUAUUUUGGAUCACCUUUAAAAACGUGAUGCUACGUGGCUUUACAGAUAUGUUCAGUAUUUAAAACUUACUCUUAUAUACGCGCAUGUAUCUGUUUGUGUAUGUGUAUAUACAUAUAAUUAUGUACGUUCAUGUACUUCGCGGUGAAAACAGUUGUGGCUAGUAUGUUCGCUUAAAUUUUCUGAAUUUUCCUUUAUAUACAGUAAUGCUCCGUUAGUGUUCCAGCGAUUGCUCACACUGCAGUAUUAAUAUUAAUAAUAUUAAUUCAGUGUGAAGUAGAAAAUUUAAAAUUUCAAUGACUUUUAUCUCGGUGGGCCGUUAACACUUGCUUCAUCGUUAAUGAGAUGUAUAGACUCCACAAAAUUUGCGACCACUCACCGAGCAUUACUGUAUUGUUUUUUAUUUUAUUUUUUUUUUGUUACAGUUUUACGACCUGUGUGCGAGAGUUAACCGAUACUUGUGCAUCUUUGCGACCCUGAUUCACCGUUCACACCAUUGACUCACAGGGGUCUUCGCCUCUCGAGUUACAACGUCGUCGAAUUCGGACGCUCGAUUCGAUUUUUCGUGACUCAAUUGCACGAGUUUAACAACGAGGACAAAUAGAGAGAAAUUCUUAAGUUUUCCGAUAAGUUCGUUCGCUAAUUUAACGUGGCGAACGAUCGUAACACUUUAUCAUCGGGACGGUUCGUUUUCUAUGUAAAUUGAUGGUGAUCGUGAACGAAUAGGAGUUUUGAGACUGAAAAUUUCUAACGUUUCACCAUCAUAGCGAACGAAUUCCUAUAUUAAAAACGUUCUCCAACAAAGUGUUUCUACAGUAAACGGUGAAACUCUAUGUUCUUACUAAGAAUCGAAUAGGAAGAGCCCCGUUUCAAAAUUGUACUCUUUCAAUUCAGAUCGUUUCAAAGUUUUCAAAUGGAAAAAUGUCGCUUUAAAAUACCUUGAUUCCCGACAGUAGAGUUCGCAACGCGAUUCGUCUCGAAGGCACAAAAGGUUAAUCAAUCGAUUCGUUAAACUAAAUUUUUUUUUUCUUUCUAUAUUUACAACUGUCUCUCUACGCUCUCUUCUAUUCUACAACAUCGAAGCGUCAAAGUUGUUCCGAGUAUCUCGUGAAUUAUUAAUCUUAUUUCGAAUAUUCUGAUACGCCCGAGUGUAUAAAAGAUUAUUUUUAAAAUGAUUAAUAUCUUUUUAAGAUCGCGCGGUAUACGAAUAUUCGAAAUCGAAACUACACACGCAAAUUCUUCGAGAUCGUCGAAGAAUCGAAAAGAAGGUGGAAGAGGAGAUAAGGGAGGGAUGGAAAAAUCGAAA